AAGUCAACUGUUAGCCGACCACCUUUUGCCAUCCGUCAACUAUGGCUGUUGCUUUGAGCAUGCAUUACAUAAAAAAACUGAGUACUGUACAGUCUGUGUCCAAAUGAUGAACGGCGACUGUCUCACCUGGUCUUGAGUCUCUCCUCCUGGAGGCGUGUAGUCGCGACAUGACUGUCCAGCAGCGUUGGCCAUGUUCUUCAAAUCCUCUCUGGGACGUCCUUCAGCAAUGCCAAAACCCUGCAUUAACAACACAACCAAGACAAACAUAAAGCUCUGAAGGACGUCUCCACAGCUGACACGUCCAAAACUCUGCGGCUCACA